GACGUAGGGCGCGAGCGUUGUCCGGAUUUAUUGGGCGUAAAGAGCUCGUAGGCGGUUCGAUAAGUCGGACGUGAAAUCUCCACGCUCAACGUGGAGGGGCCGUUCGAUACUGUCGUGACUCGAGUCCGGUAGGGGAGUGUGGAAUUCCCGGUGUAGCGGUGAAAUGCGCAGAGAUCGGGAGGAACACCCGUAGCGAAGGCAGCUCGCUGGGACGUUACUGACACUGAGGCGCGAAAGCGUGGGGAGCGAACAGG
rnacentral:rRNA from 1 species